GAUGAACGCUGGCGGCGUGCCUAAUACAUGCAAGUCGAGCGAGCGGACGAGAAGCUUGCUUUUCUGAUGUUAGCGGCGGACGGGUGAGUAACACGUGGAUAACCUACCUAUAAGACUGGGAUAACUUCGGGAAACCGGAGCUAAUACCGGAUAAUAUUUUGAACCGCAUGGUUCAAAAGUGAAAGACGGUCUUGCUGUCACUUAUAGAUGGAUCCGCGCUGCAUUAGCUAGUUGGUAAGGUAACGGCUUACCAAGGCAACGAUGCAUAGCCGACCUGAGAGGGUGAUCGGCCACACUGGAACUGAGACACGGUCCAGACUCCUACGGGAGGCAGCAGUAGGGAAUCUUCCGCAAUGGGCGAAAGCCUGACGGAGCAACGCCGCGUGAGUGAUGAAGGUCUUCGGAUCGUAAAACUCUGUUAUUAGGGAAGAACAUAUGUGUAAGUAACUGUGCACAUCUUGACGGUACCUAAUCAGAAAGCCACGGCUAACUACGUGCCAGCAGCCGCGGUAAUACGUAGGUGGCAAGCGUUAUCCGGAAUUAUUGGGCGUAAAGCGCGCGUAGGCGGUUUUUUAAGUCUGAUGUGAAAGCCCACGGCUCAACCGUGGAGGGUCAUUGGAAACUGGAAAACUUGAGUGCAGAAGAGGAAAGUGGAAUUCCAUGUGUAGCGGUGAAAUGCGCAGAGAUAUGGAGGAACACCAGUGGCGAAGGCGACUUUCUGGUCUGUAACUGACGCUGAUGUGCGAAAGCGUGGGGAUCAAACAGGAUUAGAUACCCUGGUAGUCCACGCCGUAAACGAUGAGUGCUAAGUGUUAGGGGGUUUCCGCCCCUUAGUGCUGCAGCUAACGCAUUAAGCACUCCGCCUGGGGAGUACGACCGCAAGGUUGAAACUCAAAGGAAUUGACGGGGACCCGCACAAGCGGUGGAGCAUGUGGUUUAAUUCGAAGCAACGCGAAGAACCUUACCAAAUCUUGACAUCCUUUGACAACUCUAGAGAUAGAGCUUUCCCCUUCGGGGGACAAAGUGACAGGUGGUGCAUGGUUGUCGUCAGCUCGUGUCGUGAGAUGUUGGGUUAAGUCCCGCAACGAGCGCAACCCUUAAGCUUAGUUGCCAUCAUUAAGUUGGGCACUCUAAGUUGACUGCCGGUGACAAACCGGAGGAAGGUGGGGAUGACGUCAAAUCAUCAUGCCCCUUAUGAUUUGGGCUACACACGUGCUACAAUGGACAAUACAAAGGGCAGCGAAACCGCGAGGUCAAGCAAAUCCCAUAAAGUUGUUCUCAGUUCGGAUUGUAGUCUGCAACUCGACUACAUGAAGCUGGAAUCGCUAGUAAUCGUAGAUCAGCAUGCUACGGUGAAUACGUUCCCGGGUCU
rnacentral:rRNA from 1 species